rnacentral:rRNA from 1 species
UACGUAGGGCGCAAGCGUUGUCCGGAAUUAUUGGGCGUAAAGAGCUCGUAGGUGGCUUGUCACGUCGGGUGUGAAAGCUUGGGGCUUAACUCCAGGUCUGCAUUCGAUACGGGCUGGCUAGAGGUAGGUAGGGGAGAACGGAAUUCCUGGUGUAGCGGUGAAAUGCGCAGAUAUCAGGAAGAACACCAAUGGCGAAAGCAGCUUUCUGGGACGGUACUGACGCUGAGACGCGAAAGCGUGGGGAGCGAACAGG